ensembl:snoRNA
UCAUAUUCAAUACUUUUUUUUUUUUGCAACUUUUCAGCCCAUUUUUAAAGUACCAAAGACACAGCCAGACACCAUGCAAAAGUAAAGUCUUCCUUUAAGAUGGCCGAUAUGCUAUAUUUUAUGGUAUAUCAUUAUUAAAAGUGAGUACAAGG